rnacentral:other from 4 species
ACUUAACUGAAGCAUACGUGAUGGCUAUAUAUAAGUUCAACCUACAUAUUGAAUACGGGAGACCGAGUUCUACUAUUAGUAUGGACGGCCUAGCUUAUUAUAACCUAGGAAACCAGAAAUUGUAUGACAGGUCACCCACCUGGGUGAAUCUCGGGUGUGAAUUUAAAUGGUCUACGGUGUUUUGGAUAUAUA